AGCGAACGCUGGCGGCAGGCUUAACACAUGCAAGUCGAACGCCCCGCAAGGGGAGUGGCAGACGGGUGAGUAACACGUGGGAACGUACCCUUUGGUUCGGAAUAACUUGGGGAAGCUCAAGCUAAUACCGGAUAAGCCCUUAUGGGGAAAGGUUUACUGCCGAAGGAUCGGCCCGCGUCUGAUUAGCUAGUUGGUGAGGUAAUGGCUCACCAAGGCGACGAUCAGUAGCUGGUCUGAGAGGAUGAUCAGCCACACUGGGACUGAGACACGGCCCAGACUCCUACGGGAGGCAGCGGUGGGGAAUAUUGGACAAUGGGGGCAACCCUGAUCCAGCCAUGCCGCGUGAGUGAUGAAGGCCUUAGGGUUGUAAAGCUCUUUUACCCGGGACGAUAAUGACUGUACCGGGAGAAUAAGCCCCGGCUAACUUCGUGCCAGCCGCCGCGGUAA
rnacentral:rRNA from 1 species